CCUACGGGAGGCUGCAGUGAGGAAUAUUGGUCAAUGGGCGGAAGCCUGAACCAGCCAAGUCGCGUGAGGGAAUAAGGCCCUAUGGGUCGUAAACCUCUUUUGUCGGGGAGCAAGGGCCGGGACGUGUCCCGGGCAGGAGAGUACCCGGAGAAAAAGCAUCGGCUAACUCCGUGCCAGCAGCCGCGGUAAUACGGAGGAUGCGAGCGUUAUCCGGAUUUAUUGGGUUUAAAGGGUGCGUAGGCGGGCGUUUAAGUCAGCGGUAAAAAGUCGGGGCGCAACACCGUCCGGCCGUUGAAACUGGGGGCCUUGAGUGAGCGAGAAGCAUGCGGAAUGUGUGGUGUAGCGGUGAAAUGCAUAGAUAUCACGCAGAACCCCGAUUGCGAAGGCAGCCUUCCGGCGCCCUACUGACGCUGAGGCACGAAAGUGCGGGGAUCGAACAGGAUUAGAUACCCCAGUAGUC
rnacentral:rRNA from 1 species